GAGUUUGAUCCUGGCUCAGGAUUAACGCUGGCGGCAUGCCUAAUACAUGCAAGUCGAACGGAGUAGCAAUACUUAGUGGCGAACGGGUGAGUAACACGUAUUUAAUCUACCAUUUAGUGGGGAAUAACUGUUGGAAACGACAGCUAAUACCGCAUAAUAUUGCUGGAUAAUUUCCAGUAAUGAAAGGAGCUUUCAAGCUCCGCUGAUUGAUGAGGAUGCGGCGCAUUAGCUAGUUGGUAGGGUAAUGGCCUACCAAGGCAAUGAUGCGUAGCCGAUCUGAGAGGAUGAACGGCCACAUUGGGACUGAGACACGGCCCAAACUUCUACGGAAGGCAGCAGUAGGGAAUUUUUCACAAUGGGCGAAAGCCUGAUGGAGCAAUGCCGCGUGACUGAUGAAGGUCUUCGGAUUGUAAAGGUCUGUUGUAAGGGAAGAAAUGGUAAAACAGGAAAUGGUUUUAUCUAUGACGGUACCUUACCAGAAAGCCACGGCUAACUAUGUGCCAGCAGCCGCGGUAAUACAUAGGUGGCAAGCGUUAUCCGGAUUUAUUGGGCGUAAAGGGUGCGUAGACGGU
rnacentral:rRNA from 1 species